UACGUAGGGUGCGAGCGUUGCCCGGAUUUAUUGGGCGUAAAGGGCGCGUAGGCGGCUCGGCACGUCCGUUGUGAAAUCGCCCGGCUCAACUGGGCGGGGUCAGCGGAUACGGUCGAGCUGAGCAAGCUAGGGGGCAAUGGAAUUCCCGGUGUAGUGGUGGAAUGCGUAGAGAUCGGGAGGAACACCAGUGGCGAAGGCGG
rnacentral:rRNA from 1 species